GCUCCGCCUAGCUCAAUCGGAUAGAGCGUCAGACUCUUAGGAUGUCCAAGGCGGCGGGAUCAGAUCUGAAGGCUGCGAGUUCGACCCUCGCGGUGGGCU